rnacentral:rRNA from 1 species
UUGGAGGGCAAGUCUGGUGCCAGCAGCCGCGGUAAUUCCAGCUCCAAUAGCGUAUAUUAAAGUUGUUGCAGUUAAAAAGCUCGUAGUUGAAUUUCGGGAUUGGCACAUCGGUCGUGCCUUAAGGGGCAUGAACUGGUGUAGCCAAUUUCUCACCUUCUGGAGAACCGCGAUGUCCUUAAUUGGGUGCCGCGAGGAACCAGGACCUUUACUUUGAAAAAAUUAGAGUGUUUAAAGCAGGCAUUUUGCUUGAAUACAUUAGCAUGGAAUAAUAAAACAGGACGGAUGAUUCUAUUUUGUUGGUUUCUAGGACCACCGUAAUGAUUAAUAGGGAUAGUUGGGGGCAUUAGUAUCCAAUUGUCAGAGGUGAAAUUCUUGGAUUUAUUGAAGACUAACUACUGCGAAAGCAUUUGCCAAGGAUGUUUUCAUUAAUCAAGAACGAAAGUUAGGGGAUCGAAGACGAUCAGAUACCGUCGUAGUCUUAACCAUAAACUAUGCCGACUAGGAAUCAGACGAUGUUAAUUUUUUAAUGACUCGUUUGGCACCUUACGGGAAACCAAAGUGUUUGGGUUC